rnacentral:rRNA from 1 species
GUCUAUGACCAUGCCACCCAGAAUGUGCUGGAUCUUGUCUGAUCUCAGAUGCUAAGCAGGGCCAGACCUGGUUAGUACUUGGAUGGGAGACCACCUAGGAAGACCAGGUGCUGUAGGCA